rnacentral:rRNA from 1 species
UACGAAGGGGGCUAGCGUUGCUCGGAAUCACUGGGCGUAAAGCGCACGUAGGCGGAUUUCUAAGUCAGGGGUGAAAUCCUGGAGCUCAACUCCAGAACUGCCUUUGAUACUGGGAAUCUCGAGUCCGGGAGAGGUGAGUGGAACUGCGAGUGUAGAGGUGAAAUUCGUAGAUAUUCGCAAGAACACCAGUGGCGAAGGCGGCUCACUGGCCCGAUACUGACGCUGAGGCACGAAAGCGUGGGGAGCAAACAGG